rnacentral:lncRNA from 1 species
CAGAUAACCUAUGUCUUCAGAGCCUAGGCCACAAACAAACCCCAAUAACAACUAAAACUUUUGUGUGAAACCAAAAGGGAAAUUGAAAAAAGUCUUGAAGACCAGUGAAAAAGGAAAUAAAGCAAUAACAAACACAGGGUGCGGCAAAAGAAAUCCAGGGUUUUAGGAGUCAAGAAAUGGGCUUGAGUCUCCCUAGGCUUCUGUAGAGGCAGAGCUGAAGCAAUGCUGAGAUGGGAGUGAGAGACUUGGAAGGGAUACAACUCUGCACGUUAAAAGUCACAAAUCAAUGGGUGCCUAAGGUGAGUCUCGUGUCCCAGGUCCGAGAUGGCCUUUGGUGACCUGAUUCAUGUUAGUGCAGACAGACCUCUUCCCCAGUGAGUGGGGUUGGUCUGUGUAACAGAAUAUUUCCGAAGGAAGGCAUGUGACUCCAGUGACUAGGUUAGGAAAUACUUAGCAGCUUCUACGCCUUGCUUUGUUGGAUCACUUACUGUGUGAGAAAUCAGCUGCUAUAAUAUGGCAUAUCCAUAAUAUGGGGAUACCCAAGCAGCUGUAUGCUCCAUAUGCUCCUGAAAUUCUAACUCAGAGCAGAGAGAUAAAAUGUUCAUUGUUUCACUGGGAGACUAAGUUUUAUGAAAAUAUUGUAUGCAGCAAAGGAUACUCAACACAAAUAAAACUGACAUGUUUUCCAAAUCUUUAGAAACUGAAGUUCCAUGACAGCCCUAACUUUAGUAGGUACAUUUCUUGUCACUGUAACAAGAUGGCUGGCAGAGACAGUCUAAAAGAAGUAAAUUUUUUGGCUCGUGGGUUUUUGUUUGUGUUUGUAUAAUAUAGUAUUUUAAUUACCUCUCUGAGUUCGAUGCCAGCUUGGUCUACACAGUGGGUUCCAGGGACAGCCAGGACUACAUAGAGAGACCCUGACUCAACAAAACAAAACAAACAAAUAACUAUUUGUGUGAAGCCAAAAGAGGGUUGUUUUUGUUUUGUUUUGAUCUACCAAUGAAAACAGAAAUAUUAAAAAGGACUGCAGCAAGAGCUUGCAAGCCUCUCUCUCACUUCCUCUCUCUUGCUCAGGAGAACUGUGAGAACUAACUGUUGAUCUGAAAGCAACCAUGAUUUGCUACAGAGGUGCGAGCUUGCACAGAGACCUGUGAAAUCCCACAGAACACAGGAAGUGUCUAAUUCCGCUGGAUCGGGCUGGUGUCAAGGCAGCUGACAGCUUCAGAGCCAAGAGCCUCCAGAAUCCUUUUUGGUAAGGAAUGUCAGCUACAAGGGGAAUCCCUACCUCACCAUCUACACAGAGUUCAAAGGAAAUGCAGAUUUAAUCAUUUGGUUUCUGUGUGA